GAUAACCCCGGGAAACUGGGUAUAAUACCCGAUAGGUCUCGAUUGCUGGAAUGCAUCGAGAUUUAAAGCUCCGGCGCCUAAGGAUGGGUCUGCGGCCUAUCAGGUAGUAGUGGGUGUAGCGUACCUACUAGCCUACGACGGGUACGGGUUGUGAGAGCAAGAGCCCGGAGAUGGAUUCUGAGACACGAAUCCAGGCCCUACGGGGUGCAGCAGGCGCGAAAACUUUACAAUGCUGGCAACAGCGAUAAGGGAACCUCGAGUGCCAGGUUACAAAUCUGGCUGUCGAGAUGCCUAAAAAGCAUUUCAUAGCAAGGGCCGGGCAAGACCGGUGCCAGCCGCCGCGGUAACACCGGCGGCUCGAGUGGUAACCGUUAUUAUUGGGUCUAAAGGGUCUGUAGCCGGCCGGAUAAGUCUCUUGAGAAAUCUGGCAGCUUAACUGUCAGGCUUUCAGGAGAUACUGUCUGGCUCGAGGCCGGGAGAGGUGAGAGGUACUUCAGGGGUAGGGGUGAAAUCUUGUAAUCCUUGAAGGACCACCAGUGGCGAAGGCGUCUCACCAGAACGGACCUGACGGCAAGGGACGAAAGCUAGGGGCACGAACCGGAUUAGAUACCCGGGUAGUCCUAGCCGUAAACGAUACUCGCUAGGUGUCGGCCACGGUGCGACCGUUGUCGGUGCCGUAGGGAAGCCGUGAAGCGAGCCACCUGGGAAGUACGGCCGCAAGGCUGAAACUUAAAGGAAUUGGCGGGGGAGCACCACAACGGGUGGAGCUUGCGGUUUAAUUGGAUUCACGCCGGAAAUCUUACCGGGACCGACAGCAUAUGAAGCCGGGCUGAGACUUUGCCGAUUAGCUGAAAGUGUGCAU
rnacentral:rRNA from 1 species